AGGAGCUUGCUUCUCUGGAUGAGUUGCGAACGGGUGAGUAACGCGUAGGUAACCUGCCUGGUAGUGGGGGAUAACUAUUGGAAACGAUAGCUAAUACCGCAUAACAGUAGAUAUUGCAUGAUAUCUGCUUGAAAGGUGCAAUUGCAUCACUACCAGAUGGACCUGCGUUGUAUUAGCUAGUUGGUGAGGUAACGGCUCACCAAGGCGACGAUACAUAGCCGACCUGAGAGGGUGAUCGGCUUACACACUGGGACUGAGACACGGCCCAGACUCCUACGGGAGGCAGCAGUAGGGAAUCUUCGGCAAUGGACGGAAGUCUGACCGAGCAACGCCGCGUGAGUGAAGAAGGUUUUCGGAUCGUAAAGCUCUGUUGUAAGAGAAGAACGAGUGUGAGAGUGGAAAGUUCACACUGUGACGGUAUCUUACCAGAAAGGGACGGCUAACUACGUGCCAGCAGCCGCGGUAAUACGUAGGUCCCGAGCGUUGUCCGGAUUUAUUGGGCGUAAAGCGAGCGCAGGCGGUUAGAUAAGUCUGAAGUUAAAGGCUGUGGCUUAACCA
rnacentral:rRNA from 1 species